rnacentral:rRNA from 1 species
AUUGCCUCAGUAACGGCGAGUGAAGCGGCAACAGCUCAAAUUUGAAAUCUGGCGCCUUCGGCGUCCGAGUUGUAAUUUGUAGAGGAUGCUAUUGGGUUGCCACCGGUCUAAGUUCCUUGGAACAGGACGUCACAGAGGGUGAGAAUCCCGUAUGUGACCGGCCAGGCGCCUUCUGUAUAGCUCCUUCGACGAGUCGGGUUGUUUGGGAAUGCAGCCCUAAAUGGGAGGUAAAUUUCUUCUAAAGCUAAAUACCGGCCAGAGACCGAUAGCGCACAAGUAGAGUGAUCGAAAGAUGAAAAGCACUUUGGAAAGAGAGUUAAAAAGCACGUGAAAUUGUUGAAAGGGAAGCGCUUGCAAUCAGUCUCGACGGCGGCUGUUCGGCCUCUCUUCUGAGUGGUUUAUUCAGUCGCCGCCGGGCCAGCAUCAGUUUUGGCGGUCGGAUAAAGGCGUGGGGAAUGUAGCUCCUCCGGGAGUGUUAUAGCCCCGCGUGCAAUACGGCCCGCCGGGACUGAGGUCCGCGCUUCGGCUAGGAUGCUGGCGAAAUGGUUGUAAGCGGCCCGUCUUGAAACACGGACCAAGGAGUCUAACAUCUACGCGAGUGUUUGGGUGUCAAACCCGUGCGCGCAAUGAAAGUGAACGGAGGUGGGAACCGCAAGGUGCACCAUCGACCGAUCCUGAUGUCUUCGGAUGGAUUUGAGUAAGAGCGUAGCUGUUGGGACCCGAAAGAUGGUGAACUAUGCCUGAAUAGGGUGAAGCCAGAGGAAACUCUGGUGGAGGCUCGCAGCGGUUCUGACGUGCAAAUCGAUCGUCAAAUUUGGGUAUAGGGGCGAAAGACUAAUCGAACCAUCUAGUAGCUGGUUCCUGCCG